GGAGGGUGUGGGGGUUGGCUAUUAAUGUUCUUCAAUGGGUGAAAUAUUUUUUCUGGCAACUAGAACACGCGACACUGCCUGCAGAGCCACUGCAGUGUGCGCUGCAGCGAGGGGAUGGGAGGGAGUGUGUGAUGGAGAGAUAGAGGGCGAGGGAGCAGGAGUGAGAGAUAUUGAAGGGAGAAAGGAGGGAGAAGUGAGGAGAGUGCGCAUGUGCAGCGGUGAGGUGCGCUCGCCUGGAACCGACGAAGAAGGAGGAAUAGGAGGAGGAGGUGUUGUUGUGAGCGGGGCACAGGAGAGCGGGACGACGAGAAAAAAAAGCGAGGUCCGACUAGAUUAAAGACCCAGGCCCAGGAGGACUGAAUAAGCCACACCAGGGAGGAAGAGGAAGGAUGGAGAGAGCCGACAGAGACGCUCCGACACACACCGGAGGAGGCAGAGCGACGGCGUGAAGGACAAAAGACGAGGGAUGCGGACGUGCCUCCACCUUGCCUCCUCCAUCUUAACAUUCCUGCUGCCGUCAUCCUGCUGGGAACCAGACCUCGCAUCCCCAAAGCAGAGAAAUCUUCAAGACAGGACCUGAAAGAGGCUUAAGGAUGUCGGAACAGCCGCCCAGGACUGCUGUUUGGAUGUGAACUGCCUCCCAUCCUCAAAGAUCUUUUGCUUGAGGAUGCUCCAAAGGUUCUUACUAGGGUUGAGGUCAGGGGAAGAUGGGGGUCACAACAUGACUUUCUCUCCUUUUAUGCCCGUAGCAGCAAAUGAAGCAGAGCUAUACCUUGCAACGUGAGACUGUCCACUGAUGAUUGCCGUGCAAGCCUGGAUGGUCCAGAUGGGUGGAGUAGUGGAUGCUUGGUGGAAGGCCACCAUGUCCCAACAAGGCUGCGACGUCAGCAAGGAGGUGGCAGACUGGCGGAGUCACAUAUUUGGCCGGAAACGUGCCAGGGAAAGCGCUUGUUGGCCCCUUUAGGGUCCCUGAAGGUGUGAAAGUGAAUAGUACUGUAUAUGGACUUUCUGACUGAUCAGUUUCCACCUUGGUGCGAAAAGAAGAACAGUGCUUUCAUUUAGAAAAUGAUCUUCAAGUAUGACAAUGCACCAACUCAAAAGAAAUUCAAGCAGAAACUCUCCAAAAAGUCACAAUUUUAAUGGAUAUAAGAAUUGUGAAGUUGCUAUCAAAUAAGGGGCCCUAUGUCAAAAUGUAACUUGACUUAUGAUUUGUUUUAAAUUGAAAUAGCUUUUGAAUCCAGUAAAUAUGACCUCUUAAUGCUGCAAAUUCAAUAAAUGACUAUUUUCAGUUCUUUAAAACCUGUCUAAUGUCUUGAAACUCUGUUGCUUUAUUUUUCAAAAAAUACUAUUAUCAUUGGGAGGUUUGUUCAAAAAUAUUUGAAUUAUAUUCCGGCUGGUCGGCACGGUGAACGACUGGUUAGAGCGUCAGCCUCGCAGUUCUGAGGACCCGGGUUCAAUCCCCGGCCCCAUCUGUGUGGAGUUUGCAUGUUCUCCCCGUGCCUGCGUGGGUUUUCUCAGGGCACUCCGGUUUCCUCCCACAUCCCGAAGAAAUGCAUUAAUCGGAGACUCUAAAUUGCCCGUAGGUGUGAACGUGAGUGCGAAUGGUUGUUUGUUUGUUUGUAUGUGCCCUGUGAUUGGCUGGCAACCAGUUCAGGGUGUACCCCGCCUCCUGCCCGAUGAUAGCUAGAAUAGGCUCCAGCACGCCCGCGACCCUAGUGAGGAGAAGCGGCUCAGAAAAUGAAUGGAUGGAUAUAUUCUGGCUGUUGAUGACUUGAAAAUUAUGCCAGCUGUCAUUUCCAUCAACUAUUUAGGAAAAUCAGAAAAAUAUAACUUGCCUAUUAAUUUGGAACACAGUGUAAAGAGAGAGGAAAAAUCAGAGUGUCCGCAUCAAUAGUUUUAAAAAGUAGAAGGAAAAAAAGCAUUCUACUAAUACCAGCGCAUUGAUUUUUUUGUAAACAAUCCCACUAAACUGUCAUGAGAACAGGCUUGAGUAUGCAUGAGAUGAUGUUUGUGUCUGAUAUCUGCUUGCCAUGCGUUUGUUUGUCAGCUCAAUGGAAUGAAAAGCAUGGGUCACAAUGAGGGUGACAAUGCUGUGCACAUGGAAAUGUGUAAUAAGUGUGUGUGUGUGUGUGUGUGUGUGUGUGCGUGCGUGUGUGUUUGUGUGUGCAUCCAGUUGCCAUCGUCCUAAUGUUUGUGAUGACAAUCAGCAUGUCAGAUGCCUACCUUGAUUUCAUUAGCGUCAUGAUGGCCUGGCACAUGCACCCAGAGAGGAGGCUGCAAACACGUCACCGGGAUAGCUGCAGGAAAAUCUGCGCCGGUUUGCACUUUUCACGCGGUAGCCAGGGUUGGGAUCAGCUCUUUACAUAACAGCAGGGGGCUAACGUCGAUUAGGAUGGAGGCUGCUCCAAAGCCGGCCCAUCUGCAGGACGAGGCUGGUCUCUUAUCAGCCUGGCUCGUGUCGUGUUGUCUGCAAAUCAGAGAGGGAUCACCCGCAUGCUUGACGCUGGUGAACCCUCGCGUAGGACAGAAAUCCCUUGGGAUCCGUUCCCAUGCGUUUGAGAGCUCCGAGGAUGACGGCGCGUUGACAGAGAGCAGGAAGCAUGUCUGCCACAGUCACCUGCUCUCACCAGACGUCUGUUUAUUUAACAUCUUCACUGUCACACGAAUGUCUUUCUACAUUAAAAGAGCUGUAGCAAACACAUGCUGCCUCUGCAAAGUUAUUAAUGCUCUUUUUCAACAGUGUUUCGUUUAACUAUGUCCACAGAUGGCAAAAGUAAUCACACCUUGUACUUAAGUAGAAAUUCAGAUACAGCGGUACCUUGACUUACGAGCUUGAUUCGUUCCGUGACCAAGGUCGUAACGCCAUUUAAAAUUCCAGGACAGGAGUCACAAAGCAUAUGUUUCAAAUACAAACUACAAACUACCACUUUUCCCCUUCGUUGUGGGCCACAGUCGAACCAGCACAUCUACAAAGAGAUUCUGUGGCGUUAGUUUCGUUCAAUGUGAGAGAAGAAGCCAGAGUUGUGGCAGAACCACUCAUGGCUGCUUCACCAUGACAACGCGCCUGCGCACAAUGAGCAUCUGACAGUUCCUGAAUAAGAUCGAGAAUAAGAUCACCGUGCCAUAACAAACUUCUUCCUCGCCCGACCUGGCUCCAUGUGAUUUUCAUUUCCUCUUUCCCGAGCUCAAGGACAUUAUCAAAGGGACUCGUUUUAAAGAUGUGGACCACAUCAAGAUCGCCGUGAGGACGGGGAUGCGGAGGGUCCCGGAAGAAGGCUGGGAAAGCACGCAAGACUCCAGGGGGAUUACUUCAAAGGAGAAAACUUGGAUUUGAAAUAUAACUUAUAGCAGAACAGUCCUGAAACCUUUCUGACACACCUCGUACAGUAUAUCUACUUCAUGUUCUCCAAUCCCAUUGCAAUGAAUUAAAAUUCAAUUCAUCGGUUGUUAUGUGUUCAUUAAUGAAGAAGAAUAGCACUGUUUUGUAUAUAAGAAAAAAUAACUGAAUAAAAGCAAAUGAAGACAUAAACUGGUUUUAUAAAGCGUCAUUGUUGUACGUUGGGACAAGCUGAGUCACAACAACAAGCGUGAGUUUUGGACUACUGUAGCUAAAUGCGUUGGCUCAGGUUGUUAUGCCUUUCGAACCAUGUGUUCCAAUAGCUUUGCUAACAUUUUGAGCUUACUAACAAAAACAAUGCUAAAUUAGCUGAUCAUAACCACUGGAAAAAAGAAAAAAAAAAUCACCUGUUUGUGUUUUUUCAGAUUAGAUGGCCAAUGUUUGAAGGUCGGAAGCUAGAGGGGUUUUUUUUUGACACGAUGUACUCACCACGAAUCAUUCUUGGAGUCUGCAAAAUCAAAUCUUUUACUUCAAUUAGUUUAUGGAUGGGCAGUAUUUUGCUUCUGCAGAUCUGUUUUGUCAUUGACGCUCCCAGGUCAUGUUCGCCACGGUGCUGCUGUCCUUGUUUUACUGCCUUAUAAAUGCCAAAGAUGUCAAGAUCUCAACUGCGGUGGACUUUAUUUACUUUACGCUCUUAGUUUACAUCUUUUUUUGUGUCAUAAUGUCAUUCGUGAGGAUUGAAAACAGUAACGAGUCUAUAUUACAAAGUAAGGAGUAGAAAGCACAGAUAUUUGUUUUCAAAUGUAGGGAAUACAAGUCAAAAAAUCAUCAGGAAAAAAAGACUUGAGUAAAGCACAGAUAGUUGAAAAAUCUACUUAAGUACAGUAAAAAAGUACUGUAUUUCUACUUUGUUACUUCCAACCACUGUCAAUGUGUAAUCUUGUUACUGUAGUUCCAUUCUUUAUUUGCAGUAUAUGGAUUCUAAAAACAGUUGGAGACGGUUCGAAGCAAAUCUGUUGCCGCAAUUAAGUCAAACAAUAACUAGUCUGCCCCUGGAGCAUGAAGUAACUCGAUCGUUGAGUCAUGCUAAAAGAAAACAUUUGUACCUGGACCCAGGCCAAAGUGCUCCUUUUAUCAUCCGAUCAACGCUGCGGUGUGGUUUUACAAUACUACAUAAAGCACAAUACACUGCGAUGUCAUCGAGUCUCUCACACAUGACCACUUGACUGUCCCUUGCUUUCAGGACAAGUACAGUACAUGUCCCGGAAGCGAGCAUCCCUUGAUUUUGCAACGCAUUCAAGUUUCAUUUAUAAAGUGAAAAAAUGGCUGGUCUCCGACUUUGUAUAGGUUGGAAGUAUACCAGGACAACUACAGUAUAGUACUCGCUCUUCAAUUUCUCAUCCCAAUACAACGUAUUUGAAUAGUAGGGUUAGAGUUAGGCUUAGGGAUAAGAUGGUCUAUUUCUUUACAUUAACUUUGUAAAUGACUCACUAUUGUGUAUUCAAUAUAAAAUGCAAUGGUAUGAUUUUUACCACAGCUUUCUCUGCACGAUCUACAGCAAAAUUUCCAUCGGUGAUAUUUGCCUCAGUCGGCACAGAUAUGGCUCACGAUAAAUGUCACAAGACUUCAUGCCUGCUGACAACCAGCAAUGUGUCCUUGUGAAUCCACAUGUGAGCAAAACCGUUCCUUGUCUUG